CCUACGGGUGGCAGCAGUGGGGAAUAUUGGGCAAUGGAGGCAACUCUGACCCAGCAACGCCGCGUGAAUGAUGAAGGUCUUCGGAUUGUAAAGCUCUGUGAUGGGUGACGAACAUAAUGACGGUACCCCAAUAGCAAGCCACAGCCAACUACGUGCCAGCCGCCGCGGUACUACGUAGGUGGCAAGCGUUAUCCGGAAGGACUGGGCGUAAAGGGUGCGUAGGGGGUUAUGUAAGUCGGCGGUGUAAUGCCGGGGCUCAACCUCGGCGCUACCGCCAAGACUAUUAAGCUAGAGUGCAGGAGAGGAAAGUGGAAUUCCUAGUGUAGCGGUGGAAUGCGUAGAUAUUAGGAGGAACACCAGGGGCGAAGGCGACUUACUGGACUUUAACUGACGCUGAGGCACGAAAGCGUGGGGAGCAAACAGGAUUAGAUACCCUGGUAGUC
rnacentral:rRNA from 1 species